rnacentral:rRNA from 1 species
AAUGAACGUUGGCGGCAUGGAUUAGGCAUGCAAGUCGAGCGAGAACCGUAGCAAUACGGGGACAGCGGCGAAAGGGAGAGUAAUGCGUGGAUUAUCUACCUCCGGGCCUGGGAUAGCUGCGGGAAACUGCAGGUAAUACCAGAUAAUGUCUUCGGACCAAAGGUGUGAUUCCUCCGGGAGAUGAGUCCACGUCCUAUUAGCUAGUUGGUAGGGUAAUGGCCUACCAAGGCAAUGAUGGGUAGCAGGUGUGAGAGCACGACCUGCCUCAUUGGGACUGAGACACUGCCCAGACACCUACGGGUGGCUG